UUUAUAGUAAGAGGAAAUCCGUCGACUUUAGAAAUCGUGAGGGUUCAAG
rnacentral:tRNA from 1 species